rnacentral:rRNA from 1 species
GAGUUUGAUCCUGGCUCAGGAUGAACGCUGGCGGCGUGCCUAAUACAUGCAAGUCGAGCGGUAAGGCCCUUCGGGGUACACGAGCGGCGGACGGCUGAGUAACACGUAGGAACGUACCCCAAAGUGAGGGAUAAGCACCAGAAAUGGUGUCUAAUACCGCAUGUGCUCUAAGGAGUAAAGCUCCGGCGCUUUGGGAACGGCCUGCGCAUGAUUAGCUAGAUGGUGAGGUAAUGGCUCACCAUGGCGACGAUCAUUAGCUGGUCUGAGAGGAUGAUCAGCCAGACUGGGACUGAGACACGGCCCAGACUCCUACGGGAGGCGGCAGUAGGGAAUUUUCCACAAUGGGCGAAAGCCUGAUGGAGCAACGCCGCGUGCAGGAUGAAUGCCUUCGGGUUGUAAACUGCUUUUAUAUGUGACGAAUAUGACGGUAGCAUAUGAAUAAGGAUCGGCUAACUCCGUGCCAGCAGCCGCGGUCAUACGGAGGAUCCAAGCGUUAUCCGGAAUUACUGGGCGUAAAGAGUUGCGUAGGCGGCAUAGUAAGCAGAUAGUGAAAGCGUGUGGCUCAACCAUACUCACAUUAUCUGAACUGCUAAGCUAGAGGACGAGAGAGGUCACUGGAAUUCCUAGUGUAGGAGUGAAAUCCGUAGAUAUUAGGAGGAACACCAAUGGCGUAGGCAGGUGACUGGCUCGUUCCUGACGCUCAGGCACGAAAGCGUGGGGAGCAAACGGGAUUAGAUACCCCGGUAGUCCACGCCGUAAACGAUGGAUGCUAGCUGUUAGAGGUAUCGACCCCUCUAGUAGCGAAGCUAACGCGUUAAGCAUCCCGCCUGUGGAGUACGGCCGCAAGACUAAAACAUAAAGGAAUUGACGGGGACCCGCACAAGCGGUGGAGCGUGUUGUUUAAAUCCGAUGGGUAGCGAAAAACCUUACCAGGCUUGACAUCCCUUGGGAAGCACUGCGAAAGCAGCGUGGUGCC